rnacentral:rRNA from 1 species
GCACAAGCGGUGGAUGAUGUGGUUAAUUCGAUGCAACGCGAAAACCUUACCACCUUUGACAUGUACGGAACCCUUUAGAGAUAGAGGGGUGCUCGAAAGAGAGCCAUAACACAGGUGCUGCAUGGCUGUCGUCAGCUCGUGUCGUGAGAUGUUGGGUUAAGUCCCGCAACGAGCGCAACCCUUGUCAUUAGUUGCUACAUUCAGUUGGGCACUCUAAUGAGACUGCCGGUGACAAACCGGAGGAAGGUGGGGAUGACGUCAAGUCCUCAUGGCCCUUAUAGGUGGGGCUACACACGUCAUACAAUGGCCGGUACAAAGGGUCGCAAACCCGCGAGGGGGAGCCAAUCCAUCAAAGCCGGUCGUAGUCCGGAUCGCAGUCUGCAACUCGACUGCGUGAAGUCGGAAUCGCUAGUAAUCGUGGAUCAGCAUGUCACGGUGAAUACGUUCCCGGGUCUU